CAGGCAGAAAUACCUGGAAUGGAUUGCCAUUUCCUUCUCCAGGAGACCUCGACCCAGGGAUCAAACCCACGUCUCCUGUGUCUCCUGUAUUGGCAGGCAGAUUUUUUUACCACUGCACCACCAUGGAGUAUAGAACAUGUAAAUCAUAUCUGUAUGGCUUGUAAAUUUCCACCAAUUUAAAAUUAUAUUUAUUAAUCAUACAAACCAAGAGAUGCAGUAUCACCAGCACCCCAGAGGCAUGCUUGGGCUCACUCCAAUCACUUUCCUCCCAAAGGAAUGACCAUCCUGACUUUUAACACUGUACACGAGGGCUGCACAGCCAAUCUUGUCCCCUCCCAGCCCACUCCACCCUCCUCUGCCCAACUCUGUAUCCUCUUGCCAACAAAAAAUUAAUCAGUUGGCCUACGAAAGAAAUGGAAAUUUUUACUUGAGCCAAAUUGAGGAUUCUAAGCCAGGAAGAGCCUCUCAGAAAGCCUUGAGAACUGUUCCACCCAUUAGAGGUCGAAGCACAGUUGUAUGAGUUUUUGGAGACUGAGGGCUGCGCAUUCGAUGACAUAUGAUUGGCGGUUUACACAGUCCAGAUCUCCUGGACCACAAAAUCUCAAGAAUAGGAGUGAUCACCAAGCCCCCUCGUCGCCUCCUCUCCAGGAGACUGAAGCUGAUGGCAGAUGAUGACGGCGCCUGGACUAGAGCUUCCGGCUUGGUUGUGCUAGGGAGCGAGUGAGGGUGUGAGGUCUCCCUCACGGCCUGUCCACCCUGGGCAGGUCUGGUCUCCAUGGGGAGCUGGAAUGCAGUGGACAUCUUUCCCAGAAGCCGUGAUGUCUGAGAUAAGAGGAGAGCAUUUCAGCUGAACUUUUCUUCGCCUCCUGUACAGUGUCCUUAUUUGCUUCUUAAAAACAAACAAACAAACAAACAAAAACCACAAUGUAUCCUUUAUUUGAAACGUUGUUUAUUAAAUGCAC